rnacentral:rRNA from 1 species
ACGAACGCUGGCGGCGUGCUUAACACAUGCAAGUCGAACGGAAAGGCCCUGCUUGCAGGGUACUCGAGUGGCGAACGGGUGAGUAACACGUGGGUGAUCUGCCCUGCACUUCGGGAUAAGCCUGGGAAACUGGGUCUAAUACCGGAUAGGAGCCAUUUUUAGUGUGAUGGUUGGAAAGUUUUUUCGGUGUAGGAUGAGCUCGCGGCCUAUCAGCUUGUUGGUGGGGUAAUGGCCUACCAAGGCGGCGACGGGUAGCCGGCCUGAGAGGGUGGACGGCCACAUUGGGACUGAGAUACGGCCCAGACUCCUACGGGAGGCAGAAGUGGGGAAGAUUGCUCAAUGGGCGCAAGCCUGAUGCAGCGACGCCGCGGGGGGGAUGGCGGCCUUCGGGUUGUAAACGCCUUUCGCUAGGGACGAAGCUUUUUGUGACGGUACCUAGAGAAGAAGCACCGGCUAACUACGUG